rnacentral:misc_RNA from 1 species
GGCGGCCUUUUAGCCACUGCUGAUAAGUCGAUAUGAUUUUAAGUUGGGAGUUUGCUAAAUAAAGGUUAGAUCGACGGCGUUUUGGUUAGAUCGACGCGUUGGCGUGUGAGUGGCUUGAUUAAUGUUUGUGUUGGCUGGCUCCCUGCUUGCGCAGCGAACUGUCAGCGCAUUCAUAUUUCAAUUGAGACGGAGUGUUGCCUUUUGGAUUUUUGUGUUGCUUACCCAAUCGAUGGAAUUCUUAUAACCUUGUUGCGUGGCUUUGCCAACACCCCCCGAGGUGCUAGGCGGACGUUGAAGCUGCCCUUAUUUGCGCCAUGCUCUCCCUUUUACGGGAACCAUGGAAAAUUGGCGGUGUCGCUUGUUGCCUCGGAUGCAUAGCACGAAGCGAGCAUGACGCCCGUCGUCAUCGCUCAUUCGGAGCUCUCGAUUGCUCGGAAAGAGAGACCGCCGCGCUUGGCUUCGCUUGCUGACCCAAGUCGAAUCCUUGCCGGCGUCCUCAAUGAAUGCUACCUGGUUGAUCCUGCCAGUAGUCAUAUGCUUGUCUCAAAGAUUAAGCCAUGCAUG